rnacentral:rRNA from 1 species
GACGAACGCUGGCGGCGUGCUUAACACAUGCAAGUCGAACGGAAAGGCCCUGCUUUUGUGGGGUGCUCGAGUGGCGAACGGGUGAGUAACACGUGAGUAACCUGCCCUUGACUUUGGGAUAACUUCAGGAAACUGGGGCUAAUACCGGAUAGGAGCUCCUGCUGCAUGGUGGGGGUUGGAAAGUUUCGGCGGUUGGGGAUGGACUGGCGGGUUAUCCGCUUGUUGGUGGGGUAGUGGCUUACCAAGGCUUUGACGGGUAGCCUGCCCGAGAGGGUUACCGGCCACAUUGGGACUGAGAUACGGACCAGACGCCUACGGGAGGCAGCAGUGGGGAAUAUUGCACAAUGGGCGGAAGCCUGAUGCAGCAACGCCGCGUGCGGGAUGACGGCCUUCGGGUUGUAAACCGCUUUCGCCUGUGACGAAGCGUGAGUGACGGUAAUGGGUAAAGAAGCACCGGCUAACUACGUG